rnacentral:rRNA from 1 species
UUGUCCGGAUUUACUGGGUGUAAAGGGCGUGUAGGCGGGUAGACAAGUCAGAUGUGAAAUACCGGGGCUCAACUCCGGGGCUGCAUUUGAAACUGUAUAUCUUGAGUGUCGGAGAGGAAAGCGGAAUUCCUAGUGUAGCGGUGAAAUGCGUAGAUAUUAGGAGGAACACCAGUGGCGAAGGCGGCUUUCUGGACGAUAACUGACGCUGAGGCGCGAAAGCGUGGGGAGCAAACAGGAUUAGAUACCCUGGUAGUCCGCGCCGUAAACGAUGGAUACUAGGUGUAGGAGGUAUCGACCCCUUCUGUGCCGCAGUUAACACAAUAAGUAUCCCACCUGGGGAGUACGGUCGCAAGAUUGAAACUCAAAGGAAUUGACGGGGGCCCGCACAAGCAGUGGAGUAUGUGGUUUAA